GGACGGUCAAUGAAGAAGAGGUACCUUCCUCCCGUUUCCUCAAUCUCUAUUUCCCCUCAUUAUAACGAAGAAACUUAUUUGUACUCUGCAAUUUUGAAUGGAAACAUUGGCAACAAUAUGCAAACGUCGGAGUAGCCCCGUUACAGGCCUUUCCAUCAAAUUGAUCCAUUUAUGACUUACCCAUCAGAAUCAUAGAUUUCCAACAAAGGGGACACUUUGGGGUAGAUCAACUAGUUAGGACCCCAAAGAAAUACCAAACUGUAACUCGUUAUAUGAAAUUCCUUCCAUUGCUCAAAACAACAUAUAAAAAGAUAAACAAAAUCACAGCUACACAAAAUUGUUUUAACAGCCAGAAAAGCAGGGGAAAUACACCCUUGACCUUGACAAAGGAAAGCUGGCUCAAUUUCUUCAGUCGGGAAGUAUCUGCUCACUGUCUGCAUCUGCUUCUGUCUCAAUCUGAGGCUUGGAUGGAGCUUUGCCUGCUCCUGGUGCCUGUUUUUUCUUGAUCCCACUUACAAUGUCAUCAAUCCUCAGAAGCAUGCUUGCUGCUUCAAUUGCUGUCUUGAAGGUUUGGGCUUUCACGUUAUAGGCAUCCCAAAUCUUCCUCUCUUUCAUAUCAGUGAUUUCGCCAGUGUUCCCAUCUAUGCCAGCCCAUGCAUUAUCAACAUUUGCAUGUUUUCCUUGGAGGGCGGUCAUCGUCCGAAUCACAUUAACACCACAAUUCUGUGCCAAAGUUCGUGGUAUAGCCUCAAAAGCUAUGGCAGCAGCUUCAUAAGGCCACUUUUCUAUUCCUUCAAUAGCUGAACUCUUUUGCUUCAAGGUUGCAGAGACAGUUAACUCUGUAGCACCACCACCAGGAACAAGUUUUGGGUUCUUAAGUAUGUUCCUGGCCACAGACAUGGCAUCCUGCAAAUUCCUUUCCACUUCAUUCAGGAGAUCCUUACUGGCACCUCUCAAGAGAACCGUACAAGCCUUUGGAUCUUUGCAAUCAACAACAAAAGAAAAGAACUCAUCCCCAAUUUUCUUAACUUCAAAUAGCCCAGCUCCAGUACCAACAUCAGACUCUUGCAGUUCAUCUGGUCUGUUAACAAUGACAGCCCCACAUGCCUUGGCAAUUCUAUUAUUGUCUGUCUUCCUCAACCUCCUGAUUGCACUGACACCAGCCUUGCUCAGAUAAUGGCAUGCCAAAUCACUAAGCCCUUUCUCCGUGAUAACCAAAUCUGGUUUGAAUCUUAGUAUCUGCAUGCACAUGUUCUCGAUAUAUUCCUCUUCCAUUUUCAGUAGGACUGCCCAGUCUUCUUCUUUAACCAACUCUGCAUUUGUUUGGUUCUCACCUUUCUUGUACUCAAGAGGACAAUCAAGAAGAAUAAUACGUGGAUUUACAAUCUUUCUCCUCAUUUUGCCAGGGGCAACCACAUCUUUGUUAAACAUAACUCCUUUAAGAACUUUAGAAUCUUCCAACUGGCCACCAGGUACCUUCUCAACCUUAAUGUACUUCUUGAUAUCCACUUCUCGCAAUCCUUGGCCAAGAUCAACCCCGACUGUGGAGGUGGCAUCAAUUGCCAGACCCUGGAAGUAACCAAAGCCAACAUUAAGGAUACAAAAUUAACCACCAAUAUAAAGGUUAAGAUCAACUUACAUAUUGAAACAACUCUCAGUUGACUAUUUAGAAGUGUUGCUUCAGACACUAAAAUUUCAUGUCUCAUCAAUGUUCAAAAUGUUGAGUAAACUACAACCACUUGAAUAACUGGAAAAACUCAUUAUAAAAUGUUAAGGAAUAACAAAUGCGCAACCCCAUAGAAUUAGAAAGAUGCUUACAGCAAUUAAGUCCCCAAAAUUACUAGUGAAUUUUGCGCCAAUUCAGCUCUUAACUAGCCCCAACAUGGUUGCACGGUCAUUGACAUCAAUGGACAUAGCAAUUUUGUCAAGCACAGCAAUUGCAUCCUCCAAAGCUUUAUUGUAGGCUCGACAAAUGACCGUAGGAUGAUAAUUCUUGUCAAUGAAGGCUUCAGCAACAUGGAGCAUCUCUCCAGCAAGAACAAUGACAGAAGUUGUCCCAUCGCCUACUUCUUCAUCUUGUGUGCGGCUCAAUUCAAUCAUUGACUUUGCUGCUGGGUGUGCAAGAUCUAGUUCACGCAGUAUGGCAUUCCCAUCAUUAGUAACAACAAUUCCUCCACCAGCAUCAAGUAACAUCUUCAGCAUGGAUCGUGGACCCCAACUAGUGCAGAUAAUGUUAGCAACAGCCUUAGAAGCCUGAAUGUUGGAAUGACGUACUUUGUUUCCAGACUCGCGUUUCAAAGAAUCCCCUACUCAUUUUUCGAGUAAAUUCAAGCCCUAUUAAUUAGGUAAAAAAAUAAAAUCAAAAUCAGGAGCAAAAAGGAACUUACUGAGAACAAGUACCGGAGCGUGCAUCUUUUCUCUACUCGUCUUCUCGUAUUAAAAGGCGGAUGUUUGUAUCAAUCCAAGUAGAAAAGCAACUUCGUCGAAGGCUGCGGUAGUAGUGGUGAUCGAAGGCGGUGGUCGGUGCUGGUAACGAAGUUGGUUGAGAUCUCAGACGGCGGAGAUAAAAUGGCUAGGCGAGGCCAAGAAUGAACUGGAAGCCUGGAACUGAAAAAUGGAAGGAGACGAGGAAUUUAAAUUUAUUGCCCUGUCUUACGGCGUCGCUUCGUGUACACCGUUUGGACGCUGGAUUAGAGAAGUCGAUCAGGACAUUAUUAUUGUUACUGGAACAGUGCGUACAGUGUUUUCUCCUCUUUACCGUCUAGACAUCGUUUCUUCGUCCAAUUGCUUGGUUCCUAUACCCUCCAGUCUCCUCUUCACUGGAACACACAGAAAUAGAAGAUGUCAGCAUUCAUGGUAUUUCAAUCUAAAAUCAGUCCCUCUCUAAAACCCUCAAAUUUCACUUCACAAAACCUCCUUAAAGCCCCAAUCGUUUCUCUUAAACCCAAAUCCUCUUUGUUGCACAUUAGUUCGGCUUCCAGUCUCAAACUUAUUCAGAGUACUGUAAAACACAAACUUUCGGCUUCAGCAGCUGACCCAAUUCUCUCUGAAGGAGAAACACCCACAGAUAAAGAGAGGCUUGGAGUGGUGGUGAAGCCAAUGGAGAAACCGAGGAUAGUAUUGAAGUUGAUUUGGAUGCAUAAGGCAAUUGGUGUUGCUCUAGACCAAGUGAUACCAGGCUUUGGCACAAUUCCUUUGAGUCCCUACUACUUCUGGCCCAAGGAGGAUGCCUGGGAGCAGCUUAAAAUGUUGCUUGAAAGCAAGCCCUGGAUAUCCCGGAAGCAAAUGCAUAUCCUUCUCAAUCAGGCUACUGAUGUCAUCAACUUGUGGCAGGAAAGUAAUUGCAAUUCAUAGCGAGUUACAAAUACGGGGGGGAAAUAAUUUACUUAGAAGCAGUGUGGACAGUUUGGUUGAUAUUGAAAAGGUAACGUCUUUUUCAAUGAGGGCAUCUGGAGUUUGGUUCUUUGGCCUUGGCUAAGUUGCUUUCAACAAGUUAUAAAGACACUUAAGCACAAGCAGUUGUAGACUCCCUUUAGUUUUUCAUGUGAAUGGCUAACCUAUUGUAUUUGGGUUUGUUCUCCCUUGGUUAUUAUUUAAUCUAAUUCUUUGUUUAUUAAAAUGGAGGGAAGAGGAAAAAGGUUUGAGAAUCAUAAUCUAACGUUUUAAGUUGAUAGUAAGUUUUACGUUCCUUUACCAAGCUUAUUGCUAACCUAACUUGGGUAGAUUCUGAAUGGGUUGAUGAUUUUUAGAGUUCUUUAUCUAUUUGUAUACUAAGUGAAAAGCCGCCUCAAUAAUGUCACGAGAAAAAUCCUUGUUGCUCAAGUAUGUAAGCCUUUUUUCAUAUUAAUGUACAAAUUGCAAUUAUCUCCU
rnacentral:misc_RNA from 1 species